rnacentral:tRNA from 1 species
AAAGCUUUAGUCUAAUAAAGACGGUUGAUUUCGGCUCAACAAAUUAUGGUUUAACCCCAUAAUGCUUUU